UCGCUAUUACGAACUUUAUCUAAAAUAAAAGCUUUGUAAUCUCCCUCUCUCUUUUCUGGAUCCUUUGUAAUCGGUGUUAGCUCUUCUUAUUGGAGUUGUUUCUUGUUUCUAUACUCUUAACAGUAGAAACAACUGUAGCGGGAUAUCAUACUCCUCGGCGAUUGAUUGUUUGCUAUCAAGAAGUUGGACAAGAGGGCUUCUGAACAACAACAAGAUCACGAAUUUAUCUCUGUGAGAAGUCAGGCUGAGUUUGUCUUCUUAACUGCAGGAGCUUCUAAGUCGGUUUCUUUAUGCAAUUGUAGAAGAUGGCAAAAUAUUGAAACGAGAGAGCAGGUGUAAAAGGGAACAUACCACUACGAUGCUUUAAACGCGAUGUUCAACUACACGGGUUCUUGGCAAGUCAAUGCAACAUCCACAAAAUCUCUUGCACUGGUUGGAUAUUUUAUUCUGCUUUAUGAAGUCAAAUUAGCAAAGCUUACAUUGGUUUUGUGCAACGAGAUCAGACACGCUGUUCCUUCCUCAUGGGAUCCCGCUUCCUUAGCUAGGUAUAUUCCUCUCUUUUAAUACGCAAUGUUUUCUGCUGUUCUGCAUGUUCUGGUCUCUUUGGUCUAGAUGUUUAUAAUUUCUUAAUGUUCACACCAGUGGAAUGUUUUAAGAACUAAUUUAGAGUCCGUAAGAUUCCUCUUGUUAUCUUGACCGAACACAUAGUUUCUGUGGCCAAAUGAAAGAAAAGACAUUAAAAGUUAUGGUGAAGAGCAAACUUUGCUGAGUGUUGUAUCAAUAAAAGAUUAUUCGGAUAACUUUUCCUCUUUCUACAGUUUUAAAUUCGUGAAAGCUACACUUGAUGUGAUUCUUGAUGGCAUUUCAUAAUUCUUAUGUGGUUUCCCCAUUUGUUUACUCAUUUGGUACAACUUUAUUGAAAAUUACGGCACACAUAUUGAAACUACGGCCGGUGACCAUUGGU